UACGGAGGGUGCAAGCGUUGUCCGGAUUUAUUGGGUUUAAAGGGUGCGUAGGCGGCCGAUUAAGUCAGUGGUGAAAUCCAGCAGCUCAACUGUUGAAUUGCCAUUGAUACUGAUUGGCUUGAGUAAAGUCGAGGUAGGCGGAAUUGACGGUGUAGCGGUGAAAUGCAUAGAUAUCGUCAAGAACUCCAAUAGCGUAGGCAGCUUACUAGACUAGAACUGACGCUGAGGCACGAAAGCGUGGGGAUCAAACAGG
rnacentral:rRNA from 1 species